rnacentral:tRNA from 1 species
AGGCGCGUAGCUCAGUGGGAGAGCGCUACCUUGACGCGGUAGAGGUCAGGGGUUCGAUACCCCUCGCGCCUACCA